AUGCGUCGUCACUGAAUGCGCUACGCCGCGUGGGGGGAAGAAGGCCUUCGGGUUGUGAACCUCUGUCAUCAGGGAAGAACGCAUGACGGUACUUGCCAGAGGAAGCCCCGGCUAACUACGUGCCAGCAGCCGCGGUAAUAG
rnacentral:rRNA from 1 species